rnacentral:misc_RNA from 1 species
CUAAGGAAACAAUUAUCAUCUUCAGUUUUGAGAGACUUAAGAAAGUUUUUCAUUUUAAAUUGUUUGCAAAUUGUAUUUGCAACAUUUAAAUCUUUUUAAGAUUAAGGGCCUAUAGCUCAGUUGGUUAGAGCACACGCCUGAUAAGCGUGAGGUCGGUGGUUCAAGUCCAUUUAGGCCUACCAUAACCAAAAAUAGGCAAAAUCUUAAAAAAGCUCUUUGAAAAGUAGAUAAAC